GACCAAAAGAUUAAGUUAUAUUAAUUGGUAAAAAGAUAGUUAGGUAUGAAGAUUAAGUUUAAUGAUUUUUUAUAAAAGGGUAAAAUUUGAAUAUGAAAAACUAGUUUUUAGAAAACUACAAUGCUGAAGCUAUGAUAAUUUUGAGGGAAACUGGGAUUAGAUACCCCAUUAUUCAUAAAUUGUAAAUAAAGAUUAAAUUUACCAGAGUACUAUGAAUAAGAAAAUUUAAAACUCAAAGGGCUUGGCGGUGUUUUAGACCAAUUAGGGGAACCUGUCUCGUAAUCGACAAUCCACGUUAUAUCUGGCCUUUUAUAGUAAUCAGUUUGUAUACCGUCGUCGUCAGGUAACUUUUAAAAAUAGAGAAGUUAGCAGAAAUAAUGAUUAUAAGUUAAGACGUCAGAUCAAGGUGCAGCUUAUAAAGAGGAGAGGAUGGGUUACAAUUAUAAUAUUAAUAAUUAUGGAUAGUUUAAUGAAAAAUGCUUGAAAGAGGACUUAAAAGUAAUACUAUAAUAUAUAAAUAAUAUGAAUAAGGCUCUGAAACGUGC
rnacentral:rRNA from 1 species